CAUUUUCACAAAGGUUUGCACUGUUGCGGAGAGAAUUCAUCUCUUCCCCUCAAUAGAUCACAUCCACUUAAAAAGGGCAGCAAGGCAAUGAACUAACAGUUUCAACACAGUGUUUUGGAAAUUAACCAGGCAAUCAAAUCAUGUGCCUUCCUCAAGCCUCUUCUAAUCAUCCUACAAAGCGUCCCAGGAAGAAUAUACCAAGCAAAGGAAAAACCAGCAUCAUCUGAACAGUUUGGAUGUGAAGAGAGCAUGCAAGUGCUGACUACAUCUCGGAGGUACCUAACUUCACAACCAAGUGAAGCUCACUUCAGUGUUUGACAAAUUCACUCCAUUGAUUCCAGAGGACACUGGUCUUUACUCCCAGUAAAUACAAGGGAGCAGGCUCUGAGGAAGUGGACUGGCACCAACAAAUCAGUACCAACAAAUCGGCUGCUUUGAAAUUACAGACCAUUUAACCCAGAAAACUUGAAAGACGUAAUCUUUUCUUCUACUGACCUUGCGGUUCCCCCACAUGAGCCUACCACCAUUGUAUCUGCAGUUACAGAUUUUGGCUGUCACUUCCUCCUAUAUUUUUAACAGAUGGGUUCAUUCGCUAGUAUGCCUUUAUUUCAUGCCUGCUUUUAAUUUUCCUCUUUCCCCAUCCUCAAAGCACCAAAUUGAUAUGAAAUGUUUUCCCUCUCAGAGACACGUCACCCUCCACAGCCCUGCAGAGGCCGAGGAGGCUGAGACCUCACUCUACCACCAUGAGGAGCGUGUCAGCUGCUCUGCACCAGGGAAGGAAGAGCCUUCUGUGAAAUACAAAAAAUCCUUCCCAGGGGACAGUUACAAGAACAAUCCAUUGAUUUGGUUUUAUACUCACAAAAGUGUCAGCUGUUAUUUUUUAAGAUUUAAAUAUCUUUCCAAAUGAUUGACAAAUUAAAUGCACCUCGCUGAAUAGGAGGGCCACCCUAACAUUCAAAGUACAGGAUUUUACUUGCAGGUAGAGGAAAACAAAUAUCGAGGGUUAUAAAAUCUUCAUUAACUAAGUACUUUCAGGAGAGCCAAAGAAGUAAAACUUGGGCAACUAUUAGCAAUCUGACAAGACGCUGUUUAUUUAGGUCAGGUCUUCAGAGUGUCUGUUAGCCCUGUAAUGAUUUGUUAAUAUCUGUAAUUUUCCUUAAGGCUAAACAAAUGAGGAAGCCAUCUUGUUUUCCACCUCAUUGGACCUAGCAUGCUCCAGCAGAUUGCCAUGGCAACCAGAGCGAGUGUGCCCGAUGUGAAGGGAACGGUCUAGGCCUCAUUUCCUAAAAGCAUGUUCCUACUGAGGUUGACUCACCAAUUAAAAGACUUUUCUGUCCUCUGGGGUUUCAGGGAUGUAAAUAGAGACGUGAAGCCUGGCUGAUCAGCUGCUUUACCUGGGCUAGCUACUUUUACCAAUUGCCUAAAUAUAGAACAAAUAUCCAGCAAAUAGGGAAAGAAGUAUUUCUGGAAUUUCAUCAAGGACUGUAUUAAUCCUAAAAAUAAAUAAACAAAUAAAUAAUUAAAAAAAAAAAAACAACAAUAAAACAAAAAAAAUACAAAUGGUUGUUUUGAAGAGUGCAUGGAGACAGUUCUUGUGAUUUUGUGAUAAACGAGUAAACAGCUUGAACAAGGGGGUGUUCUCCAAACCUUGGAAGAUGCUCAUAGUGCAUCUUUUACAACAUCAACAAUAACAUGUUUUGUCAUCAGCCCUCUGUCAGCGUGUCUGAGUCACACACAUUUGGUAUAAGUGAGGAUUAAUUAUAGAUCUAAUAAAAAAAAAAAAAAGAUGUGAGACUGUGGGAUGACUGUUCCAACAUAGCUUUUAGGCGUCAUUCAUUUUCUUAUGAUCAGCUGCUCACAAGUAGCUUUUAUUAAACAGAAGUAAAUUUUAUAAAGAAUGGAUAGCUUUAUAGUACCAUCAAUUAAUGAAUUGUCUCAUCAUGAUAUCAGUUUGCUUAGCACAAAAUUGUGGCUGCCGCUGAUGCAAACAAAACAAAUUCUAUAAUAGUUUUUCCUAUUUUGCUAUAUUGAGACUGAUUUAGAAGAUAGAAUAAAUUGAGAAAUAUGAUAGAACUGCAAAUAUUAACAAUAAAAUAACACUUUGAUGAAAUAAUUUAUUUAGUAGGUUGUCAUUGUCAAAAUGUAGAUCAAGUACUGAAUGAAGGAGUAACACUGCACAUUGG